rnacentral:lncRNA from 1 species
CAGCCGCAGCCGCCACCGGCGGAGCAGCCUCCACCACAGAGCUCCUGGCGGCACCACCGCCGAGCGAGGACGACGAGGAGGACGAAGACGACGUGCUGCUGCCGCCAGUGCGCAUCCGCUUGGGGUCCCGGACGGAGUCAGCGGAGAGGUCGGCCGGCGCGACGGGCGGCGAGAUGAUCGGGCGCAGGGCGUAGGUGCUGCUGGAGGAGUCGACAGAGGGCGGGAGAUCGAAGUAUCCGCCGCCGCCCGUGACGGUGGAAGAGGUGGAGGCGUUGAGCUGCGGCGGGGCCGGCGGGAGGGGCGGCGGCGGCGCGUUGAGCUCGGACAGCAUGCUCUCGACCCAGGAGGAGAGGUCGGUGGGGUUGUAGUGGACGGUGUCCGUGGCGAGGUGGGUCGCGAAGCCGUCGUCGGGGGCGGGGCCGCCCAUCCCCAUGGCCAUCUCGAGCUGCUCCAGCUUCUGCGCCACGUCCGCCAUGUCGGACGCCCGCACCUUGUACCCGAGCGCCGCCAGCAGCUCGUCCACCUCCUCCCCCUCCCCCGCCUCCGACGACGACACCAUCAUCUUGUCCCUCGACGACCCCAUCUCAUCACCCCCACCGCCGCUCCCGCCGCCGUCCUGGUACUCGCGCUUCAUGAUCCUCGCCGCGAGCGAGCUACCUCGCUCUCUACCUAGCCAAUAAUCGCGGGAAGCUUUUGCUUGCCUCGGUUUCGGGUGCGGGGAGGGUCAGGAUUUGGAUCCAGGGUUGGGAAAGGGGGGAGGAG